UCCCCCAUCAAAGGUGCCGCAGCAGCAGCAUCCUGCCAAGAGGCCUCCGGUCUGCAGCCUGGAAACCGGAGCAUGAGCAGUUCACGCGGCUCAAGCCAGGAGAGAGAGAAGCAGCUCCUGAAGCUGCUGAGGCGUGUGGUGAGUGUGGGAGAUCCUGAAAAGAAGUACACCGGAUGGAAACGUAUUGGCAGUGGGUGAGUGCAGCCACGCUUACUUCUACAGAACCAUGGGCCAGGAAUUUUGGUGGUGCAAUAGCACGUGGGAAGUCAGGCAAGCUGCAAGCCUCUUCAGAGCCUGGCUCCAGAUUGUCCCUGUCUCAGUGCUGAGGCAGUACCAGGCAUCAUCAAAGAAAACUGGAUGCUGACAAUGUCUUGGCUGCCUCAAGGAGCAGGACCUGGAAGUCCUCUUGUCCCUCAAAAAUGGGGCACCAGUUUGCCUCUUUUCCCAGGAGACAUGCUUUUGUAUGUAUGGCCACACUCCUGAAGGGGUUUUGGAAUUGUUUAUAAGGCCUUCAACGCUGCCACAGGACAAGCGGUGGCUGUAAAGCAACUUAAUCUCCAGCACCAGGGCUGCGAGGACGUACUGAAAGAAAUCCUGGUCAUGAGUGAAAAUAAGAACGCCAAUAUUGUCACCUACCUAGAAAGCUACCUUGUCAAUGAGGCUGUCCUGCUGGUCUUGGAGUAUAUGGAUGGAGGCUCCUUAGGUGAUGUGGUCAGCGUGAGAAGGAUGGCUGUAGGACACAUAGCAACAGUGUGUCGGGAGUGCCUGCAAGGCCUGGCUUUCCUUCAUGCCAACCAGGUGAUCCAUAGAGAUAUCAAAAGUGACAACAUCCUUCUGGGCCGGGAUGGCUCCGUCAAGUUGGCUGAUUUUGGCCUCUGUGCUCUGCUCAGCCCUGAGCAGAGGAAACGGAGGUCGAUGGUCGGGACCACUUGCUGGAUGGCACCCGAGGUUGUGAGAAGAGAGCCUUACGGCCCCAAAGUGGACACCUGGUCCCUUGGCAUCGUGGGAAUAGAAAUGGCCACAGGAGAGCCUCCUUAUGUUCGGGAAACCAGUGACAGGGCCAACUUCCUGAUAGGCAAGCAAGGGGUACCAGACCUGCACAAGCUCAGGCUACCCCCUGGCUUGUGUGAAUUUCUGGGCUGCUGCCUGCAGAUGGAUGUGGACAGGCGAGGCUCUGCCAAGGAACUUCUGCAGCAUCCAUUUCUGCAAUCAGCGGAGCCUCUCUUAAGCCUCUUCUGACAGCCUUGAUUGCUGUCCUCCCUGCAGCCAGGUAAUGCAGGAAGCAAAAGAGAUGAGAAGGACCACCUGAGCACUUGGAGAACAGAGCCUCUGAGAGCAGGUAGAAAUCCUGAGGAGAGAGGGGCCAGGCAACAGGCAGCCAUCAGAGCAGGAAAGGAAGGUGGCAUCCCCUUUUCUCCCACCUGCUGAUCCUCCUUCUGCAUUUCUGCUUAGGACAGCAUUGCUGGAGGCCACAGAGUCACUACUGAUGUGCACUUUUCAGGAGCUGGAAGGGCAGCGUUUGGAGGCACAGCAGCUGCUGGCACAAGGGGCAAACUUCCUGGAUGAGGUAGAGAAGAAGCAGGAGGAAAGGCUGCUUGAGACGAAGCAGGAAGUUGCCACCAUGCAAGCUGAAUGAGAAGAGAUUCCAUGGGCCCCCGCCAUCUCGAAGGGCUUUUCAAAUGUAAACAAAGGAAAUGUGCAGUGAAGUAAUGCAGGAAGCAGAAGACAUGACCAGGAUCACUUCAGGAUUACACUCCGCAAUGGCAGCUUGGAGCUGCACUCACAA